GGGUCGUUGGCAGAAUGGGUAUGCAGCCGCCUUUUAAGCGGCAUUAUCGGGGUUCGAUUCCCCGGCGGCCUA
rnacentral:tRNA from 1 species